UACGUAGGGUGCAAGCGUUAAUCGGAAUUACUGGGCGUAAAGCGUGCGCAGGCGGUGAUGUAAGACAGGUGUGAAAUCCCCGGGCUUAACCUGGGAACUGCAUUUGUGACUGCAUCGCUGGAGUGCGGCAGAGGGGGAUGGGAUUCCGCGUGUAGCAGUGAAAUGCGUAGAUAUGCGGAGGAACACCGAUGGCGAAGGCAAUCCCCUGGGCCUGCACUGACGCUCAUGCACGAAAGCGUGGGGAGCAAACAGG
rnacentral:rRNA from 1 species